rnacentral:rRNA from 1 species
CCAAUAGCGUAUAUUAAAGUUGUUGCAGUUAAAAAGCUCGUAGUUGAAUUUCGGGGUUAGUAGGUUGGUCAUGCCUCUGGUAUGUACUGGUCUCACUGAUUCCUCCUUCCUGAUGAACCUUAAUGCCAUUAAUUUGGUGUUUUGGGGAAUUUGGACUGUUACUUUGAAAAAAUUAGAGUGUUUAAAGCAAGCUAACGCUUGAAUACAUUAGCAUGGAAUAAUGAAAUAGGACGUUCGAUCCUAUUUUGUUGGUUUCUAGGAUUGACGUAAUGAUUAAUAGGGAUAGUUGGGGGCAUUAGUAUUAAAUUGUCAGAGGUGAAAUUCUUGGAUUUAUUGAAGACUAACUACUGCGAAAGCAUUUGCCAAGGAUGUUUUCAUUAAUCAAGAACGAAAGUUAGGGGAUCGAAGACGAUCAGAUACCGUCGUAGUCUUAACCAUAAACUAUGCCGACUAGGGAUCGGAUGAUGUUAAUUUUUUAAUGACUCAUUCGGCGCCUUACG